UGAUGUAGCUCAGUCGGUAGAGCAACUGAUUCGUAAUCAGUAGGUCGCGGGUUCGAUUCCCGCCAUUA
rnacentral:tRNA from 1 species